CACGUAGGGUGCGAGCGUUGUCCGGAAUUAUUGGGCGUAAAGAGCUCGUAGGCGGUGUGUCGCGUCGGCCGUGAAAACCUGCAGCCUUAACUGUGGGCUUGCGGUCGAUACGGGCAUCACUGGAGGUUCGGCAGGGAGACUGGAAUUCCGUGGUGAUAGCGGUGAAAUGCGCAGAUAUCAGGAGGAACACCGGCGGCGAAG
rnacentral:rRNA from 1 species